rnacentral:rRNA from 1 species
GCCUCCCUCUGGCGGCGUGCUUAACACGUGCAAGUCGAACGGAAAGGCCCUGCUUUUGUGGGGUGCUCGAGUGGCGAACGGGUGAGUAACACGUGAGUAACCUGCCCUUGACUUUGGGAUAACUUCAGGAAACUGGGGCUAAUACCGGAUAGGAGCUCCUGCUGCAUGGUGGGGGUUGGAAAGUUUCGGCGGUUGGGGAUGGACUCGCGGCUUAUCAGCUUGUUGGUGGGGUAGUGGCUUACCAAGGCUUUGACGGGUAGCCGGCCUGAGAGGGUGACCGGCCACAUUGGGACUGAGAUACGGCCCAGACUCCUACGGGAGGCAGCAGUGGGGAAUAUUGCACAAUGGGCGGAAGCCUGAUGCAGCAACGCCGCGUGCGGGAUGACGGCCUUCGGGUUGUAAACCGCUUUCGCCUGUGACGAAGCGUGAGUGACGGUAAUGGGUAAAGAAGCACCGGCUAACUACGUG